rnacentral:rRNA from 1 species
AACGCGAGAGGGGCUUCGGCCCUGAUUGAGUGGGCGAACGGGUGAGAGUAACACGUGGGUGAUCUACCUUCGAGUGGGGGAUAACGUUCCGAAAGGAACGCUAAUACCGCAUGACGUAUCUGGGUUUGAAGACCUGGAAACCAAAGCUAGGGGACCUGCAAGGCCUGGCGCUUGGAGAGGAGCCCUGCUGUCCGAUUAGCUAGUUGGCGGGGUAACGGCCCACCAAGGCGACGAUCGGUAAGCCGGCCUGAGAGGGCGGACGGCCACACUGGGACUGAGACCACGGCCCAGACUCAAAACGGGAGGCAGCAGGGGGGAAUUGUCGCAAAUGGGCGCAAGCCUGACGACGCAACGCCGCGUGGGGGAUGAAGGUCUCCGGAUUGUAAACCCCUGUCGAGCGGGACGAACGGCCUACGAUUGAACAGAUCGUAGGAGUGACGGUACCGUUAAAGGAAGCCCCGGCUAACUCCGUGCAGCAAGCCGCGGUAAAUACGGGGGGGGCAAGCGUUGU